GACAGAGGAUGCAAGCGUUAUCCGGAUUCACUGGGUUUAAAGGGUGCGUAGGUGGGCUAGUAAGUCCGUGGUGAAAUCUCCAAGCUUAACUUGGAAACUGCCGUGGAUACUAUUAGUCUUGAAUAUUGUGGAGGUAAGCGGAAUAUGUCAUGUAGCGGUGAAAUGCUUAGAUAUGACAUAGAACACCGAUAGCGAAGGCAGCUUGCUACACAAUCAUUGACACUGAGGCACGAAAGCGUGGGGAUCAAACAGG
rnacentral:rRNA from 1 species